rnacentral:tRNA from 1 species
CGCCGUGAUAGUGGACGGUGUUCUCCGAGAUCUGCAGGAUCGCGGGGCGGCCGGUGGCUUCGGCCGCCGCCGCGAUGGCC